UUUUACUCAGUUGGUAGAGUGCUUGCCUCACAUGUAAAGGCCCUGGGUUCAAUCCCCAGCACCACAAAAA
rnacentral:tRNA from 1 species